rnacentral:lncRNA from 1 species
GUUAUUCUAGUCUCUAUCUUUGUUGUUUCAUAGAUCGGGAUUUAAUCAUUCAUGAAACUUGUUUUAUGUAAACUCUACCCAACUAUAAGACUCAUUGUCUUAUCUCGUAAUAGUUUAUAUUUUUAAUUUGAAAACUUCUUAUUCAGAAAAAAAAAAAAGAAUUAGUGCAUAGACACCAACGAAAGGUUGGCCUAAUGACAGAGAAGGGUCUAG